CCUUCUUGUCAUUACAGCUACAGCCAUAUGUAUGCCCACCAUCUGGUUCUGAGGGCAACAUAUGUAUCUGACAACAAAUGCAGGACCUGACUGUACGACUCGCUGACAAAAGCUGUACUGCUCUGGAGAUGUGAAUCAGAGCAAUAAGGAGAUGCCUGCUCCGAGGCUGGAGAACAUCUGUUCAGUGACAGCGGCUGCACUUCUCGGGCUGCUCUUACCUGCAGAGCUAAAAGAAGGUCGAGCAAGAGGGCUGAGGAGACAAGAGUACCAUGAACCAGAGGAGAGUGGCAAGACUGUGUUCUUCAGUCGGGAUGGUCCUCAAGUCAGUUCUGGAAGACUUUUCUCACAAGAAGAGUGUCGGAGCCUCAUUGUCGUUUGAGCGUGUCUGUGGUCUCAGAGUAAUGGGUCCCCACAGCUGGACAUUUCAUGGCAAUGAUCCCAGUUUUGCUCAUACACUCAGUAAACACACCAUAGCCAACAUCAAAUCUUUGAUCAGGAGAUAUGUGAGCCAUCUUCAAAUACCUAAAAGGGUGUCACAAGGAAGAUGGAGCAAGCUUGCUUUUUCAUGCUCCGGAGGGUAGGACCCUUAAUGAGUGGUAGCCCUUUAAAUGUUUGAAUAUAGUUAUCAUAUCUCCUCUCAGUCUCCUCUUUACCAGGCUAAACAUACCCAACUCUCUUGACUGUUCCUCAUGAGGCUUGGUUUCCAGAUCCUUGAUCAUCCUUGAUCACCCUCCUCUGCACACAUUCUGGCUUGUCAAUAUCCUACUUAAAUUGUGGUGCCCAGAACUGGACAUAUUAUUCCAGGUGUGGUCUGACCAAGACAGAACAGAGCAGUACCAUUACUUCCCUUGAUCUGGACACUAGACCUCUGUUGAUGCAGCCUAGAAUAGAUACUGAAUGUGUGCUACCAGAUUUUGUGUAGUAUAUGUCUAAACAUCGGGGCAGCUGAAGACAACCAGAAUGCUUGAGUCCUCAUGGGUUUGCGUUUGUGUCCUGAUUAGUAACUGCCAUGCAGCUAACUAUCCACAAUUUUAUUUGGAAACAAAGGCCUGUAGCUUCUGUCCUUCAAAUGCUGCAGUUUAUCUCCAAACUAUUCUGAGCUGAAAGCAUCUCGCUGAUCUCCCCAACUAAUGAGAUGAAUUGAUUUGCUGUAUAAUUCUAUGCCAAUGAGUUCAUUUACACCUAGCACCGUGUGUGGAAACAUCAUUAUGAGGGGGAAGCAAGCUUUUUGUAGCCAGUCUCUUCCCUACGAAAGCAUUCAAUUGUAUCAUUUUUGCCUGUUGGCAACGACUACUGUGUGUGUGAAAGGUAAUGCCCAGUGAUUUUAAUCACUUAUUAUUCUUACAUAAAUUACUGGCAUGGGUGACAUAUAUUUUUAUUGUGCUUAAUUGAUUUCAGCAUUGAGCAAAGCAAUCAUUUGGAGCAGAAUGUCACGGUUUCAAAAAGAAAUAGCCACUGUUUAGGUGCCAAGGAAUGGCCAGGCUGUUGCUGUUGCAGUUGCUUUGGCCAGCUGGUAAAGUAGCUUGCAGAAUGUUUGUUUUCCCCACUUUAUUUCUGCAUUUCCAGGAAUGUUGGAUUUGUUUUCUUAGGUGAAAGGGGAGUUCUUUCCCUAUUCAGCAGAGAAGAUGCAAACCUGGUAAAUUCAGCACCAUUUAUAGAUGUAAGGUGUUUCACCGUACACCAGAUAAGAUUUUGAGGGGCCAGUACUGGGUUUGGAGUAGGAAACUUGAUGUAAGAUGGUAGAACAUGGACCGUUUCUGACCUGGCUGGUACCCCUUUUUCCUGAGCAAAGUUUUGGAUUUCAAAACUUUUACCUUUAAAGAAAUUCAUACACAAAACAUACACAAAACAAAGUUAGUGAGCAUAUUGAUCUCAGAUGCUCAGUAGAGAGACUGCUUGGCUUCCCCAGCUUCAAUUAAAACCUAGGGAAAGACAUAAUGAGGUAAGU